GGUGGAAUUGGUAGACACGACGGACUUAAAAUCCGUUGCCAUUAGAGGGCUUGAGGGUUCAAGU
rnacentral:tRNA from 1 species